rnacentral:rRNA from 1 species
AUUGAACGCUGGCGGCAGGCCUAACACAUGCAAGUCGAACGAGUGGCGGACGGGUGAGGAAUGUCUGGGAGACUGCCUGAUGGGGGGGGAUAACGACUGGAAACGGUAGCUAAUACCGCAUACCAUCAGAUGUGCCCAGAUGGGAUUGGCUAGUGGGUGGGGUAACGGCUCACCUAGGCGACGCUCCAUAUCUGGUAUGAGAGGAUGACCAGCCACACUGGAACUGAGACACGGUCCAGACUCCUACGGAAGGCAGCAGUGGGGAAUAUUGCACAAUGGGCGCAAGCCUGAGGCAGCCAUGCCGCGUGUAUGAAGAAGGCCUUCGGGUUGUAAAGUACUGUCAGCGGGGAGGCGUUACCCGCAGAAGAAGCACCGGCUAACUCCGUGCCAGCAGCCGCGGUAAUAC